rnacentral:sRNA from 1 species
UGACACUGCGCAGGUCCCCGGGUUGGAUGC